CAAAAUUCGGUGCACGCCCGGAAGACCCGCCUCUGCGGUACCAUGGCCUUCACUCCUUGAAUCCAUAGCCCUUCUUGCCGUCGUGUUGUUCACCAAAGCGGAGCUCCCAGUAGCUCCCGAUCAUACCUCCAUAUGAUCUCAUCCCUCACGGGACAUGUCGUGUGUGUCGCAUUGCCACGAACUGUUCCACCACGAUCCGCUGCACCAUGUCGCCUCCUGGUGACAUCUCCAUUGCAUUCUGAUCCUUGUGGAAUAAACUCGAAUUGUGAACCCUCCAUGUGUGGCCUCUGCCAAUACAUCGCAGGGUCUCCUCCACCUUCGAUUUUGUUCGCUCCUUUGGCAAUCGACCUUCAUCCACCCACUCUUGGGUCACACCUAGAUGAAGGACCGCUCUAGGACAGUCCGUCGCCUAGUAGCUCCCGAAGUCCACCGACUUCGCUGUAAUUUGUGCACCAUUGCCUGGAUCCUGGGCCUCUGCCCCUACCAGCACAAUCUCCGCUGCACACUGCUUCCUUCAUAGCAACUUGAAUGGCAACACUGUGGCAUAUUCUUCAAGAGUACCCGCCCCUGCAUCCUCUUGCCCCGUGCUAAGGCCUUCUGUACCCAACUUCGCCUCCGCAAAUUGAGUCGCCUUAGUUCCUCCAUCGAAUGCUCCUCCGAGAUAAGGUGCAUGUGCCCCGAAGCUCCCUUCGUCUUUGGCACCAUGCAAGAUGAGUCCGCUCUGUCAGAAUGAAGGACCCAAGGAACAGCAUGAUUCUACUCCUGCCUCUGCAAGAGUUCAUGUCCUUGACCUCUGUCUAGGGAAAGCGCUGUGCCUCUGCUCCAUGUUCCAACUUCUAUGCUGGCUCCCUUCAUGCGGCUUGGGUACUUCGCCAAGUUACACCCAAGUUGCUCCGCUCCUCGUUUUUGCAUUGAGUCGAUGGUGGCCCUCGCGCCCACCAUUCCACGGGUCAGCCCUCCCUUGAGUCCGAUCUCCAUAUCGACUCCAAGUGUGCCUCCAUUUGAGUUGCUUUGGGUCGCUCCCCCACUUGAUCUCGCAAUGCAUCCACCAAUGCAUUCUCUCAAGCGAGAUCAUGCGACGACUCCUCGCCGCUUGCUCAGUCCAUCGAGCUUCAUGGAGUUGUUGUUUGUGAGGUACUCCUCCUCAACAUGUGAAGUCCGUCUCACAUGAUUCUCCCUCUGGAGAGCUGAGACUUAUCCCUCCUGGAUAACUGUCCCGUUGGAGCAACAUCUCUCUUCGUUUUGGAGACCACCAUCCCCUUGGACUACUCCGAUCUGCUGAACAAACUGUGCAUUGUUCUGCCUCUUGCAAACGCACUUGCUAGAUUGCGCCUCCACGUCAAUACAGCCACCGCUGCACCCCUCAAGGCCUAGCAACAUGCUGAACUCGUUGCACACUUCAGCCUCCUCCGGACGUAUCCUUCGCAUGUCGAAGAGAAAGUUUCAAUGCUCCAUGGCGCCGAGUCUCGACCGCCUUGGGAUGGCCACGAACAAUCCAUCGUCCGCAUACAAGCCCAUGCAUGAGUACCGAAUUCUUCGAGUUAGCAAUUCCCCUCACCUCUGUGAGCUUUGCACAACUCUUUCGGUCGCUGAGCAACUCAUUCCACUUUGCAUGGUCUCGUCCUUUGCCAAGCGCCUCGCUUGCCUUGAGCACCAUCAAGUAAAGUUGUCAACGUUGAGCCGUAGCUCAAACUCAGCCAUCCCAACCUUUGUGCGCUCCAAAUUCUUCCAAGCUUGCCUGUUCUCGUGGUGCCUCUUGCGCGAAGGGUUGGCCAUUCCUCUGAAUGCCAAUCUCAGAUGCCCGCUCCUCUGAGCGACUCUUUUCCCUACAUCUCCAUGCCCGUUUUCCCUCAAACGGUCGCGCGUGUGCUAACUGCCCUCAACGCAGCCCCGCUAGGUCCCCCACGUUUGCAUGUCAAGUGUUUCUAUGAGUGCUUGUCCCGCUCUGAUACCAUACUGUCACGACCUUAGCUGGUUUUGCCUAAGGCGUGCGGCACCCUCGCGCGUCCGUCCGCAAAGGUUAGCCUCCCCGAAGCCUCCCAUUGUCCCUUAGGACCAACAAAAGAGAGAACGGGUUAAAGAGAACGCCUCAAUCGGGAUCCACAAGCAAACAUGUCCGAAAAACACUUCAUAGACAAUGCAAAUUACAAACAGACUUUACAAGCUCUGAAUAGUGGCACAACAAAGGGUAAAAUGGUCCAUUACAGACCGAAAAGCUCUCAAACGUGUCCACAUGACACAACCUUUAUUUACAAGCCUAAAGAGGCCAUCAACCCAACUAAAAUGGGACUAUUAAGCCUUUGGCCGCCCCUUUACAUUCUGUGCAAGGCAUGAACAUGCCAAAAGACAACGGACAGACAUAAGCAUUACAUCCAACAUCUUGUUUAGAAGUUUGUCCGUUACAGGACGGUGGACCAAAUGAGGAUAUUUCACGACAAGCCUAUCGCGGUUGGCAUGCUAAGCGAGUUGGGAUUCAAUGGACCAGCAUUAUCAGAGGAUCUAAUCAUUGAAGUCUGCAGAUGUGGAGGGGCAGAGCUCUAUCCAUUUGCAGUAGGUUCCCGAGAAGUAAUAUGGGUUUGUGGAUAUACAAGUUCUUAGAACAAUAGAGCUAGCUCUUACUUAUAUUUUGAUGGUCUGUUUCAACAAUUGUCAAAGAACAAUUUGUCCUAUCGAACAGAACAUUCAUUCAAUGGAAUCGAUCAGAUGUCACAGGUAUCGGUCUUACAGUUGCUAGCUUCAAGGAAAGGUGGGAUUCUUCUCAUGAACACAGGUAUUUUGGUUUUGUUUCAACAGAUACUUCUUCAUGUAGUUGGAACUGAUACAUUUGAUUUGUGUCCCCAUCUUCUGCUUCUUGCGGCCAUGCCAGAUGACAAGAGUCUGAAGAUCAUAUCAACCUUAUAGGUUAGCUCGUCGCUCACAUUCAGUUAUCUGGACAGUUAGAGCAUCCGAGCGAUGACUCCACUAGUCAUCGUUCGCUAAGUGCGACCAUUAUGCAUGUCAUAUGAUGUAACGGUGUGAUUGAGAGAUGGGAGUUCGUAUCUGUGCUGGUGCAUCAAUGUAUAAAGGGUCAGGUAAUAUUCAUGAGUUGACUGGCAUUGUCUGUUCUCUCCUCUCAGGAUUAGUAAAAGACGGGGAGCAUCAUUUGUCAGGCUUAUAUAAAUUUAUGGUCGACUGCUACUCUGUGAAACGGCCAUGAUAGAAAUGGUAUGGUAGCAUCGGCAUCACCAGGCAUCACCGCUGUCACAAACUUGUUGUGAGUAGCUUACUGGAGGUCGCAGGCUUUUGAGUCAUUAGGUAUCUCAUGAUCAUGUUUUUGUGAUGCACGAGUAUUGUUCUAUUUCUUUAACUUUGAUGGAUGAGGCCAUAUGCAGAUAAGUUUUCACAUACUGUAUGUAGCAGGGGAGCCACUGCUCGUCGACUAUCUAUUAUGAUAUAUCAUGUCAUGGACUCGGUUUGGUAGACCGACAGAUCCAAAGGGAAACGCUCGUCUACUUGUGUCUCUACCUUCCUAUCCUUCCUACUUGCUGUCUAAGAUAUCGAGCCAUGUAAGCCAAGCUUUCAAAUCAUGCUAUGCAACUCAUGUAUGACUGCAGCAAUCUGUGUUCGGGAUUUAAUGGUUUAAGCAUA